CAGCAGCCGCGGUAAUUCGUAGGUGACAAGCGUUGUCCGGAUUUACUGGGCGUAAAGAGCGCGCAGGCGGUCGGUCAAGUCGAGUGUGAAAGCCCCCGGCUCAACUGGGGAGGGUCAUUCGGUACUGAUCGACUUGAAGGCAGGAGAGGGUAGUGGAAUUCCCGGUGUAGUGGUGAAAUGCGUAGAUAUCGGGAGGAACACCAGUGGCGAAGGCGACUACCUGGCCUGUUCUUGACGCUGAGGCGCGAAAGCUAGGGGAGCAAACGGGAUUAGAUACCCCGGUAGUCCUAGCCGUAAACGAUGGACACUAGGUGUUGGUGGUAUCAACCCCGCCAGUGCCGAAGCUAACGCAUUAAGUGUCCCGCCUGGGGAGUACGGCCGCAAGGCUAAAACUCAAAGGAAUUGACGG
rnacentral:rRNA from 1 species